GCUUUAUUUAGUAACACAAUUUCUGUAAACAGACAAAACAGCUCUUAAAACACAUGAAAUACAAAUAUAUUAAUGAAUAUUUAAUGAACUUUACAUUUUGGGGAAAUAUUGUAAAGGUUAACAUUUUAAUCAAUGCACACACGACCUUUGAAUACCACCCGGAAGCUGACCUGAUCAACCAUGUGUUGUGAACCCGGUCACUGAUGGAUGGAUGGAUGGAUAAAAGGAUAAGAAAAAAAGACUUCAUAUUUUAUUUUUGUGUUUCCAAAAUGUAUGUCUUUAUUUCCAUAAUCUCUGAAUCUAUCUAUAAUAUUUAUUAUAAUUAUUAGUAUUUCUAUAGAAACAACAUAUAGUGCAGCUCUUCACAAGUUUUUAAACAUAUUGCUCAGAUUUUUGUAGGUGCUUUAAUUCUUGGUUUUAUAUACAAUAACGACCAUUGUGCAUCUGCCAAACCAUCAUUAACCAAGAGAGAACAAGAGAAAAACAUGUUUAACCAUUGACCAAGUGGAAUAAAGCCAAGGUCACCAUGGCCGAAAACACACAAGAUUGUGAACAAAACAUUCUACAAAAGUAGAAUCCAGAUAAGCAAAACACGGUGAAAAACAGUUGCUUCUGCAGGUUAUCAUGCAAUAUCCAGGCUGCCACUACAUUUGUAUACCUCAAAGCAGACAUUUUCCACUACAUCAACAAAUUUCACCAAGCUGCGCUCGCGCUCUCGUUUGAAUCAGAAGAAAUCUGACGUCGCGUCAAUAUGAAACCAAGGUUUGGAACACACCUAACAUGGAAAUAAUUAAAAGAAAUCUCCGAAAGGCGUGAUUCAUUGAAGGGCACUCCGGAUUGGCUUACAGCUAUCUGGGUUAGUGACAAAAGGAGCUUUAAAGAUGGAUAGAAUCUAUACUUGGUAUUCAGACGCUGGGAAUUCACUGACGAAGCCCAAGGACGGACACAACACGUAGGGCGGGUGAAGUACAGUUGACAGUUGAAUUUAUGGUUUUAAAUACUUUUAUAACUUUUUGGCAUGUUAUGUGAUCCUGCUCCGGGAGAAUCUGCUGAUAGUCCCUUUGGACUGAGUAGAAGUUGGAUACUGAUGGGCUUAUUUUUAUCUCGUCAGUGCAAUCAAAUAAAGCAUUAUUGAAUUAAUUUACAGUACUGCACUAGGUUUUCUUUUCUCUCCUUAUUUCCCUGUAUGCAUACCUGGAUAAAGAGAAGAUAGAGAGAUUCCACAUAUAUAUAUAUAUACAUACAUAUAUUACGUUCUGCGUACUUAUCAUCUGCAUUUGUGAGUGCACGUUAUGGUUACACCCUUUUUGGUGUUAAUAUAUACUACACCAUUGUUAUGGGCAAACACAAAUAUUGCAAGUUUUAAAAUGCAAAUAUUGUAUUUCUCAAACUGUGUACUUUGUCUUUAAGAGAUAUUGCAAACUGACAAGGUGUUAGAAAUGGAACAUAUUGUUUUUCAUAGAUGUUUCUUUAAGCAAUAACCUCAGUGCAUAAUAUGUUUGCGCCAUUUUGUCCCAGACGAAUUACAAUAACAAUAAUGUAUAAACAAGCUUCAAGGCUAUACUACGACUCUUGCAGUACACAAUAUACUGUGGUAACCCUAAGUAGAUAAAGAUGUUCAGACUUUAAGAUGCCAUCUUGAACCAAGUCAGGAAAAUUUCCAUGACGUAUACACCCUUUAGUUAUGGCCUUGUAUUUUUGCCAAGUUAAGGGAGGACCUGAAAUGAAUAAAAAUAAACAAGUUAUGAAUAGGGAGGACCUAUAUAUGAACUAUGGUGACCCUAAAAUGGAGACACCUAAGGUAUAAAUAGGUGUACUUUUAAAUGUCAAGACACAGAGGAGAGACAUGGAUACAGACGUUGCUCCAUCUUAAAAUGACAGAGAGGCUGACAUGAUG
rnacentral:lncRNA from 1 species